AUUGAACGCUGGCGGCAGGCCUAACACAUGCAAGUCGAGCGGAAACGAUCCUAGCUUGCUAGGAGGCGUCGAGCGGCGGACGGGUGAGUAACGCGUGAGAAUCUACCCAUGAGUGGGGGACAACCCGGGGAAACUCGGGCUAAUACCGCAUACGCCCUACGGGGUAAAGCAGGGGACUUUCGGGCCUUGCGCUGAUGGAUGAGCUCGCGUCGGAUUAGCUUGUUGGUGAGGUAAAGGCUCACCAAGGCGACGAUCCGUAGCUGGUCUGAGAGGAUGAUCAGCCACACCGGGACUGAGACACGGCCCGGACUCCUACGGGAGGGCAGCAGUGGGGAAUCUUGGACAAUGGGGGCAACCCUGAUCCAGCCAUGCCGCGUGUGUGAAGAAGGCCUUCGGGUUGUAAAGCACUUUCAGCAGGGAGGAAGGCUUACCCCUAAUACGGGUGAGUACUUGACGUUACCUGCAGAAGAAGCACCGGCUAAUUUCGUG
rnacentral:rRNA from 1 species